GUAUACAAAAUAUUUUUAUAUGUAAUAAUAUUAUAUAUAAUAUUAUUUUUAUAUUUAAUAAUAUUAUAUAAUAUUAUAUACGGUUACCAUUGGUAACCGUAAUCAGGGUUGCCAUCUGGUGUUUUUUUAAGCCAGAUUUCUCACAUCUGAUUUGUUUUUUUAUUAUUUGGCUUGAAAUUUUUGUUUUGGUUUAUUUUAGAAAAGCUGGCUUAAAUCUGGUUUAUUUUAAAGUCUUUGGUCUUUUUUUGCUUGUUCUGCUAUAUUUUUCAAAAUCUGGUUUAAUUCUGGUUUAUUUAAUAAUAAAUCAAUUUAAUCAAGUUUUUUUUUUCAUGAAAAGUUAAUUUGAUGGAAAGAAAGGUUUCCAUUUUUUUAUUUUAUAGAAGAACAAUCAAGUUUAAAAUAAAUGAAAGAAAUGCUUACGUUAAAAUCUUAAAACAUUAAAAACUUUUACUUGUAAUGUCAUUCAAAUGUUGUUUUUAUCCCUUAAUUGCCAAAAAUGUUAGAAAAUUCUUACAUUCAAAAUGAUAUUUUUUGAGAAAAAUCUGCCUGUAUUGAAUGUUGUUUCCCAAGUUGAAAAGGCCAUUUCAAGUCUACAAUUAUAUCUUAAGGAUGCAAAAGGUGGAGAAAUUGAAAAUCAUUACAGAAAUUGUCAUUAAUAAUAAAUUAAUUAACAUUGCAUCAUUAGAGCGAGUCUAAAAAGAAAAUUGAGUUUAAAAGAAAAUUGAGUUUCUAAAAACACCGCUGAAUUCUAAACUGCUUCGUAAACCCAUUUAGAUGUUUCUGGAGACCUAGACCUCUGCAAUAUAGAUGCAAUAUAGAUUAUCCCAGAUGUUGGAAAAGAAAUCUAUAUCCAUAUGCAAGCAAAAUAAUAUAUAUAUUUUACAGGUUGAUAGUGUUGGAUUUAGUAUAGGUGUUUGGAAAUGAACUAAUUUACCCACGCCACUUUGAAGGCCCAAUUAAACAUUCACUAAGUCGUUCUUCUCCUCCUCCCUCACUCUCUUACAAAUAAAAUUUUAGUAUUAAAGGAUGAAUUUUUAGAUAAAAAAGCAUUUUUUUCAAAAUAUAAAUUAUAAACAAGGCUUUGAAACAAAAAAUUAUUAUUUUUUUCUUUUUUUUUAUGGUCUGGUUUAUUUCUGGUUUAUUUUUGUUUCAUUUUUGGCUUGUGCCCAAAAAAAACCCUGGCAACCCUGACCGUAAUGGUUUGCUAACCGUACCUAACAAUAUCAUUUUAAUAUUUACAUACCUAAAAGUUAAAAUAUUAAAGUAAUAUUUUCAGAGAUUUUAAUAGUCUAUAAAACAAAUAUUUUUUAAUUAGAAAAAUUCUUCAGUUAAAUGCUUGACUGAAAAUUGUGAUUUUUUUGGAAGUCUUGUAAGCAAUAAUUAUUGCAAAGUUUGCUUCUAAAGUUUAUCAAAAGCCCGUACAGUAUUUAAAAGUUUUGGUUCAAUAAACAAGAAACUUUGCGCUAAAGACAACGGACCAAGCAUAACCUUACUUUGUUGUUUUGAUUGUGCAACAACGUGGUGAAUAAAGUUGAUUUAUUACGUUUGAUCAUUUUAAAUCGUGAUUUAAGUUGAUUAACUGCUUUUUUAAAUGGGUGAUAGUGGUAGUGAGUCUGAUCAUAAAAAUUAUUGAAAAAAAGAUUAAGAAAUCUAGGCUUACUGGUGUGGCAUAUGAAAUCUACAGGGGACUAAAAAGUUGAUGCAAAGUCUAUUGGAGAUCUAUGCAGAGUGUGAUGAAAAAAUGGAUUCUAAUAAAAAUAGAAGUUUGGAAAAUAUUUUAGUCAAAUGUUUGAAUAAAAAUUGUGAUUUUUAUGGAAGUCCAGA
rnacentral:lncRNA from 1 species